UCGAGGGCUUUACUGUCUCUUACUUCCAAUCCGUGAAAUUGACCUUCCCGUGAAGAGGCGGGAAUAUGACAAUAAGACGAGAAGACCCUAUGGAGCUUUAAUUAACCGACCCAAAGAGAUCUUGAUAAUCAACCGACAGGGAUAACAUACCUCUACCAUGGGCCGACAAUUUAGGUUGGGGUGACCUCGGAGAAUAAAACAACCUCCGAGUGAUUUAAAUCUAGACUAACUAGUCGAAAGUACUACAUCACUUAUUGAUCCAAAAACUUGAUCAACGGAACAAGUUACCCUAGGGAUAACAGCGCAAUCCUAUUUUAGAGUCCAUAUCGACAAUAGGAUUGCGCUGUUAUCCCUAGGGUAACUUGUUCCGUUGAUCAAGUUUUUGGAUCAAUAAGUGAUGUAGUACUUUCGACUAGUUAGUCUAGAUUUAAAUCACUCGG
rnacentral:rRNA from 1 species